rnacentral:lncRNA from 10 species
ACAGUAAACAAAGACAUGCCCCAGGGACAUCAGAGGUCUCUCUGCAUGGGGAUUAACAGGAGAGGAGGAAGCCCUGACAUGUCCAAUAAACUCAAUCAUCUGGAAGAUAGCUCAGUAGGUGUAUCCUUGACCCAGCAUUGUGGGAGAAGAUAUGUCUGGAAUGUGUAUAUCUGCGGGGAGUGAGAAAGGAAUGUCAGCAGUCAGGAUGUCUGCAGAUGGGGAAUUAGAAAUCUGUCUUAGUGUUGGUGGGACCCAGUUCAAAAGAGACUUCAGAAGGAUUGAUGGUUUAGACGGGUAAUCUAUAUAGGACCUGUUUAGAUGAACUUCAGUGGAAUGAGGGAUGAUGUAUUAGGAUAAUAAGGUUAGCUGUAACAAGCAACUGAGCUGUAACAAAGCCACUGACACUUCUCACUCAUAUUCUAUAGUCCAGUGAGGGUCUAGGGGACAGGGGUAGCUCUGCUCCAUCCAUUCAUUCAAGCCUAGGUUCUUUCCAUUAUGUGGUACAUAUGGCCUCUAAAAUUGUCACAGAAUGGGAAGAGGGAAUGCAGGUUGUAUGGAAGAUUUUUAAAUGAGCCCAGCCUAGAAAUGGCGCACAUUGCUUCUGCCUUCAUUCCAUUGUUCAGAACCUGAUCCCAUGGCAUCCGUUUGACUGCAAGGAAGCUGGGAAGUGUAGUUCAAAUUUGGGAGGUACUGUGCCCAGAAAGAGACACACAAAUGUUGGUGUGUGUUGUGGAGCACUAGUAGUUUCUGGCGCAGGCAGGGAGAAUGGCUGUGCAUCUUGUAGGGGUCGUAGUAGUGUCUGUCCUGGGCUGGGUUGGGAGUGUACUCUCUGAGAAUACCUUGGAAGGAAGCUGAUAUGAGAAGAUGUGUAUGAGUGGUGCACACCCAUGUGCUUUAUGGCUCAACAAUCAUUCCAUUCUUUCCCAUUCUCAAGGUCUUUCACUGGAUAAGAUCUUAAUUCUCUCACACCUUACCACUGAAAUAACCUUGUGAAUGCUUUAUCCUCUACAAUUUUCCCCCAUCAAAUCUAACUGGAUAUUAUAGUCUAACUAAUCUUCCUAAGACUUGGCGUAUGUCAUGCAAUCCCUGUUCAAUAAAAACAAUAACAAUUUCAACAGCA